ensembl:snRNA U6 U6 spliceosomal RNA
GUGCUUUCAUGGGCAGCACACAUGUUAAAAUUGAGUGAUACAGAGAUUAACCUGACCCCCUUGCAAGGAUGACUCCCAAAUUUGUGAAGUGUUCCAUAUUUUU